CAAUAGCGUAUAUUAAAGUUGUUGCAGUUAAAAAGCUCGUAGUUGGAUUUCGGGGCAGCCUGGCUGGUCCGCCGCAAGGCGAGUACUGGUCAGCCGCCCUUCCUCUCGAAAGCCCCGACUGCUCUUCGUUGCAGUGGUCGGGUAGUUCGGGACGUUUACUUUGAAAAAAUUAGAGUGUUCAAGGCAGGCCUACGCCUGAAUACAUUAGCAUGGAAUAAUGGAAGAGGACCUCGGUCCUAUUUUGUUGGUUUCCAGGGCCGAAGUAAUGAUUAAGAGGGACAGUUGGGGGCAUUCGUAUAUAAUUGUCAGAGGUGAAAUUCUCGGAUUUAUGAAAGACGAACAACUGCGAAAGCAUUUGCCAAGGAUGUUUUCAUUAA
rnacentral:rRNA from 1 species